UCCAAUGCUCCAACUGAGAUUAAAAAUAAGGACACAGCGUCCGCUAAUAUUACUAGCGAACGAACUAAACAAAAAUGUCAGACUAUUAUACCCCAAGUGACCAAACUCAACUCAUUCAUGGAGGACAAAGUUGGUUCAUAUACUGAAACAGCUGACGGACCAACUAUGGCCAAGCAGAAAAUUUGAGUAAAAUCCAUAACACAAACCACAUCGAUGAAGAAAAACACGGCCCCUCAGUUCAGAUCGUAGUUUUCCU
rnacentral:lncRNA from 1 species